rnacentral:tRNA from 1 species
GCGGGGUUGAUGUAGUGCUAGCAUGACAUCCUUCCAAGUUGUUCGCGUCGGUUGGACCCCGACACUCCGCUCCA